UGCCAGCCGCCGCGGUAAUACAGAGGUCUCAAGCGUUGUUCGGAUUUACUGGGCGUAAAGCGUGCGUAGGCGGCGAGGUAAGUCAGAUGUGAAAGCUCAGGGCUCAACCCUGAAAUUGCAUCCGAUACUGCCUUGCUAGAGUAAUGGAGGGGAGUCUGGAAUUCACGGUGUAGCAGUGAAAUGCGUAGAUAUCGUGAGGAACACUAGUGGCGAAGGCGAGACUCUGGACAUUUACUGACGCUCAGGCACGAAGGCUAGGGUAGCGAAGCGGAUUAGAUA
rnacentral:rRNA from 1 species